rnacentral:hammerhead_ribozyme from 1 species
UCCCAGCCGACAAGUCGCAAACAGGACGAAACACGCUUCCUGGAU